rnacentral:pre_miRNA from 1 species
AGUAGGAUAGCUGGGUCAUAUGGUGGCUCCAUAUGAGGAAUAUCCAUAUUACUUUCCAGAGUGGUUGUACUACUUUGCAGCCUCACCAACAAU